rnacentral:lncRNA from 1 species
CACAAAUGGGAAACCUGAAGGGGGCGAAGGGGAAGGCGGAAGCCCCGUGCGAGCGUGAAAGGAAACCCGUUCUACCCAGGAAGUGAUGCCUAAAGAAGUAAACUACUCGGCCGGGCGCGGUGGCUCACGCCUGUAAUCCCAGCGCUUUGGGAGGCGGAGGUGGGCGGAUCACGAGGUCAAGACGAUCGAGACCAACCUGGCCAACAUGGUGAAACCCCGUCUCUACUAAAAAUAGAAAACUUAGCGGGGCGUGGUGGCGCCUGCCUGUAAUCCCAGCUACUCGGGAGGCUGAGGCAGGAGAAUCGCUUGAACCGGGGAGGCGGAGGUUGCAGUGAGCAGAGGUCGCGCCAUUGCACUCCAGCCUGGGCAACAGGGCAAGACUGUCUCAAAAAAAAAAAAAAAAAAAAAAAAAGAAAGAAAAGAAAAAAACGUGGAUAAGUAUUGUCAUUAUAUUAAAGUGAGGAUAGGUUUUUUUUUUUUAGCAUGACAUCAGUGGCAGAAGCCAUAAAGGAAGAGAUUAAUGGAUUUGGCUAAAAUAAAAAUGUUUAAUAUCUG